GGCCCUAGCUCAGUGGUAGAGCAUCUGCUUUGCAUAAAGAAUGACCCAGGUUCAAUCCUUGGCAAUGAUGGCUA